AUCCCUUGCCACUUUAAGGCACUAUCAAUGGAGGUCUAUGAUGGCACCACCGACCCCUAUAACCACUUGGAGAGCUUCAAGGCCCUCGUGAUAUUAUAAGGGGCCUCGAAUACUUUGCUAUGCAAAUCCAUCCCUACCACUCUUCAGAGUGCUGCUCGAGCCUGGUACAUCAGGUCCAGCCAAACUCCAUCCUCUCUUUUGAGGAGUUCGGUCACCAAUUCACUACUUAAUUUCAGAGUAGUGGGAAAGUAAGAAAGGGCACUGAUGCCCUCUUCUGCGUCAAGG
rnacentral:lncRNA from 1 species